UGAGGUAUAGCUCAGUGGUAGAGCACAUGCUUAGCAUGAACAGGGUCCUGGGUUCAAUCCUCAGUACCUCCA
rnacentral:tRNA from 1 species